rnacentral:rRNA from 1 species
AACGAACGCUGGCGGCGUGCUUAACACAUGCAAGUCGAACGGAAAGGCCCUGCUUUUGUGGGGUGCUCGAGUGGCGAACGGGUGAGUAACACGUGAGUAACCUGCCCUUGACUUUGGGAUAACUUCAGGAAACUGGGGCUAAUACCGGAUAGGAGCUCCUGCUGCAUGGUGGGGGUUGGAAGGUUUCGGCGGUUGGGGAUGGACUCGCGGCUUAUCAGCUUGUUGGUGGGGUAGUGGCUUACCAAGGCUUUGACGGGUGGCCGGCCUGCGAGGGUGACCGGCCACACUGGGACUGAGAUACGGCCCAGACUCGUACGGGAGGCAGCAGAGGGGAAUAUUGCACAAUGGGCGGAAGCCUGAUGCAGCAACGCAGCGUGGGGGAUGACGGCCUUCGGGUUGUAAACCGCUUUCGCCUGUGACGAAGCGUGAGUGACGGUAAUGGGUAAAGAAGCACCGGCUAACUACGUG